UUGUUUAAACAUGUGAACUUUGUGGAAUGUAGUUAUUGAACAUGUUGGAGUUAGUUUGGAUGUAUGUGACUUUAGUUUGGAGUAUUUGAACUUGUUACGAUGGACAAAGUGAUGGAAAUAAUCAUUUAUGUGGUAUAUAUUGUCAUCGAUGUCGAUUAUGUGAGCUAUAGGCUCCUGGAUGUGAAAUAUAUUAUUUUCUGGAAAUAUAUGUGUCAUAUGAUCUUCUCAGUAGAAAUUGGAUGAAAAAAUAGAAAAAAAAUAUUUUGGUCCAUUUGCCGAGAGCAUCUCUCGGCAAAGCUGAAAAAGUGGUCGAUUUGCCGAGAGGGACUCUCGGCAAAGCUGAAAAAU
rnacentral:lncRNA from 1 species